GAGAGCACUCCUACGGGAGGCAGCAGUGGGGAAUAUUGCACAAUGGGCGCAAGCCUGAUGCAGCCAUGCCGCGUGUAUGAAGAAGGCCUUCGGGUUGUAAAGUACUUUCAGCAGUGAGGAAGGUGGGUAUGUUAAUAGCAUACUCAUUUGACGUUAGCUGCAGAAGAAGCACCGGCUAACUCCGUGCCAGCAGCCGCGGUAAUACGGAGGGUGCGAGCGUUAAUCGGAAUUACUGGGCGUAAAGCGCAUGCAGGUGGUUUGUUAAGUCAGAUGUGAAAGCCCGGGGCUCAACCUCGGAAUUGCAUUUGAAACUGGCAAACUAGAGUACUGUAGAGGGGGUAGAAUUUCAGGUGUAGCGGUGAAAUGCGUAGAGAUCUGAAGGAAUACCGGUGGCGAAGGUGGCCCCCUGGACAGAUACUGACACUCAGAUGCGAAAGCGUGGGGAGCAAACAGGAUUAGAUACCCUGGUAG
rnacentral:rRNA from 1 species